rnacentral:rRNA from 1 species
CCCUUAGAUGUUCUGGGCUGCACGCGUGUUACAAUCGGGAGUACAACAAGAUUGCAAAUCCUAGUGGAUGAGUGGUUCUUCGAAAUUUUCUGAAGACUGGGAUAGUUGAUUGAAAUUAUUCAACUCGAACGAGGAAUUCCUUGUAAUUGUAAUUCAUUAUACUGUAAUGAAUACGUCCCUGCCCUUUGUACACACCGCCCGUCGCUCCUACCGAUUGAACGAUCCGGUGAAUUAUUUGGAGUAGCUCUGGAAGUUGCAGAACUUCCUAUGUCACGAAAUUUUGUAAACCUUAUCGUUUAGAGGAAGGAAAAGUCGUAACA